rnacentral:rRNA from 1 species
AUAUCAAUAAGCGGAGGAAAAGAAACCAACAGGGAUUGCCUUAGUAACGGCGAGUGAAGCGGCAACAGCUCAAAUUUGAAAUCUGGCUCUUUCAGGGUCCGAGUUGUAAUUUGUAGAAGAUGCUUUGGGUGUAGCUCCGGUCUAAGUUCCUUGGAACAGGACGUCAUAGAGGGUGAGAAUCCCGUACGUGACUGGGGACCAAGCCCGUGUGAAACCCCUUCGACGAGUCGAGUUGUUUGGGAAUGCAGCUCAAAAUGGGUGGUAAAUUUCAUCUAAAGCUAAAUACCGGCUGGAGACCGAUAGCGCACAAAGUA